rnacentral:misc_RNA from 1 species
AACCAUAGAAACCUGCGGAGUACCUGCGGAGGGAUCAUUACAGAGUUGCAAAACUCCCUAAACCAUUGUGAACGUUACCUAAACCGUUGCCUCGGCGGGCGGCCCGGGUCCUUCCCGGCGCCCAUCGGCCCUCGCGGGCGCCCGCCGGAGGUAAACCAAACUAUUGCAUUGUAUGGCCUCUCUGAGUCUUCUGUACUGAAUAAGUCAAAACUUUUAACAACGGAUCUCAGAUCGGAAGAG